rnacentral:rRNA from 1 species
ACGAACGCUGGCGGCGUGCUUCACACAUGCAAGUCGCACGGAAAGGCCCUGCUUUUGUGGGGUGCUCGAGUGGCGAACGGGUGAGUAACACGUGAGUAACCUGCCCUUGACUUUGGGAUAACUUCAGGAAACUGGGGCUAAUACCGGAUAGGAGCUCCUGCUGCAUGGUGGGGGUUGGAAAGUUUCGGCGGUUGGGGAUGGACUCGCGGCUUAUCAGCUUGUUGGUGGGGUAGUGGCUUACCAAGGCUUUGACGGGUAGCCGGCCUGAGAGGGUGACCGGCAACAUUGGGACUGAGAUACGGCCCAGACUCCUACGGGAGGCAGCAGUGGGGAAUAUGGCACAAUGGGCGGAAGCCUGAUGCAGCAACGCCGCGUGCGGGAGGACGGCUUUCGGGUGGUAAACCGCUUUCGCCUGUGACGAAGCGUGAGUGACGGUAAUGGGGAAAGAAGCACCGGCGAACUACGU